CGAGAGGACCGGAGUGGACGCAUCACUGGUGUUCGGGUUGUCAUGCCAAUGGCACUGCCCGGUAGCUAAAUGCGGAAGAGAUAAGUGCUGAAAGCAUCUAAGCACGAAACUUGCCCCGAGAUGAGUUCUCCCUGAGACUAUAAGUCUCCUGAAGGAACGUUGAAGACGACGACGUUGAUAGGCCGGGUGUGUAAGCGCAGCGAUGCGUUGAGCUAACCGGUACUAAUGAACCGUGAGGCUUAACCUUACAACGCCGAAG
rnacentral:rRNA from 1 species